AUUGAACGCUGGCGGCAUGCCUUACACAUGCAAGUCGAACGGUAACGGGCCUUCGGGUGCCGACGAGUGGCGAACGGGUGAGUAAUACAUCGGAACGUGCCCGCUCGUGGGGGAUAACGAGGCGAAAGCUUUGCUAAUACCGCAUACGAUCUAAGGAUGAAAGCAGGGGGCCGCAAGGCCUUGCGCGGACGGAGCGGCCGAUGGCAGAUUAGGUAGUUGGUGGGAUAAAAGCUUACCAAGCCGACGAUCUGUAGCUGGUCUGAGAGGAUGAUCAGCCACACUGGGACUGAGACACGGCCCAGACUCCUACGGGAGGCAGCAGUGGGGAAUUUUGGACAAUGGGCGCAAGCCUGAUCCAGCCAUGCCGCGUGCAGGAUGAAGGCCUUCGGGUUGUAAACUGCUUUUGUACGGAACGAAAAGCCUUCUUUUAAUACAGGAGGGUCAUGACGGUACCGUAAGAAUAAGCACCGGCUAACUACGUG
rnacentral:rRNA from 1 species